GUCAGGCGGGGCCACCCGCCGAG
rnacentral:rRNA from 1 species